GCCACUGGCCAUACCACCCUGAACACUCCAGAUCUCGGGGCCUAAGCAGGGUUGGGUCUGACUAGUACUUGGAUGGGAGACUGCCUGGGAAUAUCAGAUGCUGUAGGCU
rnacentral:rRNA from 1 species